rnacentral:lncRNA from 1 species
GCAGCUUCAUUCUCUGUACUUGCUUUGUGCGCUGCAAUUAGCUUGUCUUUCUUCAAUUCUUCGAUAGUGUGCGGUCAGAAGAUUACUACUGUAAACAACGUUACUGUCACGCCCCAAGGUCAAUGUCAUUAUAACGGAACGUACUACCCCAAAGGCAAUUUCAGUACAUGGACUCCGAAGUGUUAUAUGGCCUUAUGUAAAAAAACGAAGAAAAUCCUGCUAAUUGUAGAAUGCGAUGCCAAGCCAAUCGACGGCUGUCAUUUGCCGGAAGUUCCACAGGAUGGAUACCCAGCAUGUUGCGUUGAACCGGUGUGCUGAGUAACAAGAAUGAACUCUUCAAUGAUAAAGCAUGUAGAGGUGACCAAAAUGACAUUUUUCAUCUUGACUAACCACAUCACAAUUAGCGACAACGAGUAGUGUUCGUAAAUAAAGUUGUCGAUCCGCGUGUAUA